rnacentral:rRNA from 1 species
GACAGAGGCGGCAAGCGUUACUCAUCCUAACUGGGCAUAAAGGGUGCGUAGAUGGAUGUUUCGAAAUGGCUAUAUAGUUAAUUACUGCGUUUGGUAGGUGUAUGUAGCAGCUAGCAUCUAAAGAGACAUGAUGAGGUCAUUAGUAUACGUUAGGGUAUUGGUUUGAGAAACUAUCGAUCUAACGGGGACUACCUACCGUGAAGGCAUUUGACUAAUCAUGAUCUGACAUUGAGGCACGAAAGCAUGGGUAGCAAAAGGG